AGGGAUAUAGUUUAUACUAGAAUAGUAUUUUGUGGGGAUACAGGAAGUAACUUGUUUAUUUGCCCUUA
rnacentral:tRNA from 1 species